rnacentral:rRNA from 1 species
UACAGGGGGGGCAAGCGUUGUUCGGAAUUACUGGGCGUAAAGGGCUCGUAGGCGGCCAACUAAGUCGGACGUGAAAUCCCCAGGCUCAACCUGGGAACUGCGUCCGAUACUGGAUGGCUUGAAUCCGGGAGAGGGAUGCAGAAUUCCAGGUGUAGCGGUGAAAUGCGUAGAUAUCUGGAGGAAUACCGGUGGCGAAGGCGGCAUCCUGGACCGGCAUUGACGCUGAGGAGCGAAAGCCAGGGAGCAAACGGG